UACGAAGGGGGCUAGCGUUGUUCGGAAUUACUGGGCGUAAAGCGUAUGCAGGCGGGUCGAUAAGUCAGUGGUGAAAUCCCGAGGCUCAACCUCGGAACUGCCUCUGAUACUGUCGAUCUUGAGUCCGGGAGAGGUGAGUGGAACUGCGAGUGUAGAGGUGAAAUUCGUAGAUAUUCGCAAGAACACCAGUGGCGAAGGCGGCUCACUGGCCCGGUACUGACGCUGAGAUACGAAAGCGUGGGGAGCAAACAGG
rnacentral:rRNA from 1 species